ACGUAAGAGUCAUAAUCAAUACUCCAAAUUUCUCUUCGACUCCUUCUUCUUCCCUCUCGUCGAGCCAUCGAGCCCCUCUUCUUCCUCACGAGCUCUUGUUGUUCCCUCUUGAGCUCUUGUUCUUCCCUCUCAUCGAACCAUUUUUAUCCAUCCCUUCUUCUCUAGCCUCGAUUGAAAUCCUAACCUCCACUGCAAACGCCUCUUUCGUAUUACCCUCUCCUCAAACCCUAGCCGCUACCACGUGCUCCAUUACAAGGUUGAGGGGACUAGAGACCGCUCCACCAGUCAUGCCUCCUCGUUGGCUCUCCCCUUGGAACCCUAACUCAUUCUCAGGCUCACGUGGAGACGACUGGAAUGGUAGCAUCGAAGUCUCGUGCUUACUGACUAAAGCUUUCUCACUCACACUCUCUAACGGUCACUCGUAGAGAAGAAGAACGUCCCACACUAACUGUUCUUCUCGCUCACGCUCACUCAAAGAGAAGAAGUUCAUUCAUUCUUCUCGUGUUCAGUCACCUUGUUGGACAUCAUGCUCACUUGGGAGAGUUAUUCGUUCAAUCGUUGAUUUUGAUGAAUAGAGCUUCUAAAAUGUGAAAGACGGUGAUGGAAUUAUUCCUAGGCCAAACCAUGGAAGUGAGAGUGCAAAAGAAGAAGAGAGAGACCGGAGAGUGGGUCGCAGUUGAUGCCAAGACCAAACCCCUGUUGGAGCUCCAGACGAGGUGAAGUUUGCCUUAGACAUUGUGGUCCUGUAUUGUAGCUUUGCAACAAUUUGCUUCCCUACUUGUCCUGUAUUAGUUCUGGUGCAAGUGUCUGGUUUGAAGUCCAUCACAUCUAAACACCUGGCAUUGGCAAGUUAAGUAACUAGUUUCGUACAUGUUAUUAUUCUUGGUAUAAACUCACUCACCUAAAUGAAGUUUUUAAUGCGUUUUCUCUGGGAUGUAUUGAGUUCUCUUAGGAGAAACCAACUAAUGAGCAAAAGAAGUUUAGCCAUGUUACUCCAUUAAUUUCAGCAUUAGCAGAUGAAGUGUUAACCCGUGGUUGUCUUUCUUCAGAAGUCAUUGAGCAGGUUGAAGGUGAGGUCCAGCGAUUAAAUGUUGUCAAAGCCAGUAAGAUGAAACAUUUGAUGUUUAAGAGGCAGAAUAAGCUUAAAGAAUUUUACAGAGGAGUUCACAUGGAUUUCGAUAGUGAAUCUGCAAGACAGAUUUUGACUAGUCUCAUUGAAUGUGGAGCAUAAGUUGAGAAGGAUACUCUCUGCAGUUGGCCAGGAGUUAGUGUUUUCUCCAUCUCCUCGUGGAAGGAGGAAAGUAGAAAUUUCUACUAAUAUAGCAGAAACAUCACUCACAUUAGAUGGAAUUGUCUAUGUUGUUGACAAUGGGUUUUGUAAACAGCGAUUCUACAAUCCGUUAAUCAUUUUGUUAUUUCUAUUAUGAGCCCUGUAAUGAUUAUUUCUUGUUUGAUUUAUAAAUGUAACAUUUGGUCUAUCUUUACUUCUAUUCAAGUUUCUUUUUUGCUUUCCAGUUUUUUAGCUAACAUUGUUCCACUACAUAAGGCAUUAUUCUCAUUUUCUACACGGGCACUUGUAUUUUCUCAAAAUGUUAGAGAAGUUUCAUCAAUUUUUAUGUCACUUAUUGUCCUCUUUUAAAUUUUAUACAAGUUGUUGUUGGUUUAUGAAGUAUUUAAAACAUUAGAAUUUUCAAUAUUUAUUGGGUUGAUAGUUUCCUAGUCAUGGUACUCUAUGUAUUUUAAAUUAACAUUAAUUAUGUAUUUUCUUUAUUAUUUUAGUUUAUUAGAAUUUUCCUAGUCAUUGUGGUUGAUUCUAGCUGCCAUCCUAGUAAUUUUAUUUUUAGAAUUGUUCCCUUCACUUUUUUUUUUCCACCUUACGUUGAUUUCUUAGAUGUCUUCAAGUGUAAUUUUCUUUCACGCUUUCUAAUAGAUUUCUGAUAUUGAAAAUCUGGUUGUCUCACUUUUUCAGAUCCAAAGGUCAUUUAAUUGGAUUUAACACUACCUAUUAAACUAUUCAUCAAUACAAGAGUUGAAGAUUCUCUGUUUGGGGUUUAGAGCCACCACUUUGAUGAUAAAAGGCUAGUUGGUGGAGCUUCAAACAUUGGAAAAGAGAGAAAAAGAGUCUCAAGAGCUAACGAAAAUAGGAAAAGAAAACAAAGGCCAAGUUGUGUUUUAUCCAGAUUAUUACUAAAAGCUUUAAAUCAAAGGAGUUUUUGAUCAUCAUCAAAAAGGGGGAGAAUGUUAGCAAAAAUCAAAGAUGAAGUUUUGAUGAUGAACAGAUUUGCACAAGUCAAGAUCCAUAAAGACAAAUUGAAGAUCUCUGUAUUUUAUAAAGCUUUUAUAAUAAUCAAAGUUGAUGUAAUAGUGCUCAAAUAAGUAUUAGGGUUGAUUCUUGUAAUUUAUAUUUGAUUUAUUUACUGUUAAGAAUCAUCCACAAGCUGUUUUAAUCGAUUAAACCCAAUGUUAAUCGAUUAAAACGAGGCUGGCACUGAAAACCCAAUUACCCCUGUAAUAAUUGAUUAAGGCUAUUAAUAAUCGAUUAGUUAAUCGAUUAUUCCUGAGAAUAAUCGAUUAAAACUAGCCGUUGGGGGUUUCAGAUUUAAAAAACUAGUCGUUGGGGGUUUCAUAUUUGAAAAACUAGUCGUUGUACUCAUUAUUAAUCGAUUAAUAUUUAUGUUAAUCGAUUAAAUGCGUUAGAUGGCCCGUUUUCGAAGAAUGAAAGAGUAUUUGGCUGAGCCUAUAAAAUAGCUCACUCUUGAUCUCAAAAACAACUCUUCCCUUGUGCUCUACACUACAAACAAAGCCCUCCUUCCCCUCUGCCGAUAAGAGCUGCGAUUUCAGCCCUCCCUCCCCAUCGACCUUCCCAUUCACUCCGUCUGCAUUCCCUUUCGCUUGCUUUCGUUCAUUCUCUCCCUAUCCCUCUCCCUGUCCGGUGGCAUUGUGUGCGUACGGUUCGUCGUGUCGCUGUGGGUCGUGUCGUUGUGGGUCUUGCGGGUGGGUUGGUGGUUCGUGGUCGUGGGCGUCAGGCUUGUGCGGCGAGUGGGGUGGUGAUUCGUGGUGAUUAGCGUCAGGAGGUCGUUGCAGUGAAGCCCAAGGUUGGCUGUUGGGUUGAGAGCUCGCGGUGUGGCUUGGCUUCCAUUGAAUUGGGUGUUCUGGAGUGCGAGGUAAGUUCUCUGUUUUAGAACGUUACUUGAAUAAAUUGAUUGUCUUGUUCUUCCCUAGUUGUGUGCAAUGUGUCCAUGUAAUUGAUUGUUGCCCUGUUCUUACCAAUAUGCAUUAACUUGUUUGCAUUGUUGAUAUUUCUGUAAGGAUGCUGUACUUGACUUGACCACAACAAAACUAAAAUGAUGGGUGAUUGGAGGGAACUCUUCUUUUCUGAAAGGAUGAUUUCUCUCUGAAGUUUGAACCUUUAGGAUUCUUGUCUGAACAUUGGGUUUGGAAAGUGAAUAAUUGAGCAAUGUUGACAACGUAGGUUGCCCUGGUCAGAUUGUUCAGACCACUGUUCCAGUUGCUAUAAGGACCAAAUUCAGUUGCUUAGUUGCUAGGAACCAAUGUCUUUUUGCUAAUUGAGUUAUUUCCAACGUGCCUUAAUUGUUUUAGGACCUAAGUUAGUAAUUUUAGUUAAUGUAAGGCCUUUGUACAAUAGUUCAGUUCCUUUAAUUGGAAGGGUGAGUUUAGGGAUGAGGAAGUGAGGGAGAAAGGGAACAAAGAGUGUUAAUUUGUAGAGGAAAAAAACUAAACAGAGAGGAAGAGCAGAGAGUCAAAGACAGACACAAAGGAUGAAAAAAAAACAUAAAUAAAAUAAAUUAUUAAAGAAAAAAGAGAGAGAGUGGGGGGACGUGCCCCUCUUGCCUUUGACACAACAAUCAUGCAUGUGUAAGCAUGGAAGGUGCAGUGGACUUGUCUUCACUUGUUUACAAAAAUUUUUUGUUUACGCUAAGGCCCCUUCUCUAACAAGUCAUUAUUAGCAAGGUUAAUUGAACCAAAGGUCUCAGCCACGCUACCACUAUUAAUUUGUUUACUUUUGCCACUGUUGUUGGCAAAAGCAGGUUGUUAGAUUGGUUCAAGAUAGAGAAAAAAAUGGAGUAAAUGAUCCUUAUCAACACUGAUUGAGCCACUAAAGGGUUAAACUAGGACAUGUGUGUAAAUUGAGGUAAGCAAGUCUAACACAAGAUGGCAAGUGGCAAGUGACUAAGGGAAUCUGCAAACUUUAUCUGGAAAUUUAACUUUGUUGAUUCUAGGCUUUUACUUAAUCCAACCAAGUCUACUUGCAAUGUAAAAUUAAAAUCAGACUUCACAACAUCCACUUAUACCAAAAAUGAACUCAGAAUGGAUUUUUGAGAUGUGAAAACGCACACAAGUUGCUCUAAGGCCAAUUAAUCAAUUCUAGCAACUUUAUAUUAUGAAAUUAGAUUUGUUUAAGCUGGGAAUUGGUACAGAAAAAACAUAGAUCAUAAUAUGACCUCCUAACAGCCCAUUAUGCAGGAAAAUUAGCAACCUCACACCCCAAACUGAGUUUUAGUGAAACAAAGGACCAAACAACAAUGCAAACAACUUUGAAAUAAGUAUUAACACUGAAUCAAGCUGGAAAAUAUCAACUAGGUGAAAUUAAACUCGAAUUAGUGAUUUAAAGCAAAGCUAGCAUGGUGAUAAGUUGAAAAUUGUGCAAUCAUAUGGUUUAAGCCGUAAAGCUGUGGAAAUGCACUUCAUAGCUUAUUUGAUGUGCUUUCCUUGAUGCAAAAGUAUCCACAACUGAUUUGGAAUAGCAAGGGUUGAUUUUGGGUUUAUGCUUUCGAAACCAUCACUUUUUGAGUUAAAAUAGAAGUGGAGUAGUGAUUUUGAGUUGUAGGAUGUUUAUAACUCAUUUUAGAGUUUAAAGACAAUUAAAAUCAUCAAAUAAAGUUACUUGAACCAGUGAAUUCACAUUGCAAGAUGUUUUCAAACUGUUUGUGUUUAAACAUCUUUAAAUUUUGAGUAUGUAGAACCUAAAAAGCUAGGAUCAAUCAGUCAUAAAAGAGAUCAAUAACUGCUCAAUAACUGCUCCUGGAAACUUUCACAACCCAUGGAAAACUCCCCACUCUGCCUGUGUUCUUCUCUGCUUUAAUUCUGUUUUCUUACGUGAAUCCACAGAUUACUCCACAGGUUGUGGGAACUUUCACAGCACAGUUGUUGAACUUUCUGUUUUGCAACUCCAUUUAGAAGCAACAUCCACAUGUAACUCCACAGGUUGUGAGACUAUUCACAGCUUGGUUGUUGAACUCUUUGGUUUCAUCUUGGUAUCUUGUACAUCAAUUCUUCCCAAAUUGUGAUUUUGGCACUUAGCAGUUGGGCGAUCUGCUUUAUAUUUGCUUAAUGUUUAAAGUGUUAAAAUUCUGGUUGUAGCAUUUAGACCAUUGGUAGCCAUCUAUACUGUCAUUUUGCUUAUUUGAGCAAUUUUUGAGUGGUAUGUUUGAGUCAAAUACCUGGUUUGCAACCUGUUUCAAUUUCUGAAUCAAAGUUUGGAUGAUUGAGUUGAAUAUAUGAAGUAAAAUUAGGUUUGGAAUUGCCUUUGUGAGUAAUUUGAAAUCUGCAUGAGUUAUCUUAUCAAAUAAGUUCUUGAUCAUAUAUCAAACUUGCUGAUGUAAUUUGUAAUUUGAAUUCUGCAUCUUGUAACCUCACUUACUUUGAAUGUUUAUUUUGGUGGUAUGAUGGUUUAUUUUACUGCAUAAUUGGCAAUAAUAAGGGUUGGUUUUCGGUUUAUGCUUUUUCUGUGCUAUUGGAAAGCUUGAACAAGUUUAAAUUGGUGUAAGAAAGUUGAUAUUACUGUUCAUUUCUGUUCUAUUUCAUAUGGUCUCCAUAAUUUAGAGUUUUGUUUGUGUAAUUUUAAUGUGUUGGGAGGUGUUGGCAGUAAUCAUUGUUCUUGCCGUAAUGAUAAGAAAUGAUAUGAGUGAGAUGUCCAGAACCAAAUGCAGCUGCCUUAUCUCCUGUUUUAGUGAGAUGUCCACCAACCAAGUAGCUUUUGUAUUGGUUGCUACACCAAUCAAUCACCCAGAAUAUAUAAAUAUAUAUGCAUCACAUUCUGCAGCAGCCCAACGCCCUGUUUUUUUUUUCGCCCUUCGAAAAUUACCGAAGGCUUUUGGCCCUCGGUAAUUACCGAAGGCUUUAGGCCCUCGGUAAUUACCGAAGGCUUUUGGCCCUCGGUAAUUAUCGAAGGGCGAAAGCCCUCGGUAAAUGUUAGCGACAAGGGAUUUACCGAGGGCUCUUUGGCCGUCGAUAAGCCUUCGGUAAUUACCUUUUACCGACGGUUUUGGGCUGUUUUCGAGGGCUUCUGGCCUUCGGUAAUGCCCUUCUUUUUUGUAGUGCUAGUACUCAUAAAUCAUUGAGACUUGUGUGCUCUUAUUCGGCUUGUGAAACUCUUGUCUGUGGAGCUGGUGAAGUGCUGCUACGGUGACAAAGGAAAUAGCCGGUUCAUCCUUGGUGUGUCUAAGGAGGUGUUCUGAAGAGAAUCAUCCUUCGUGAAGUAUUCGUAGGAGGUGUUCAUCCUUUGUGAAGACUCAAAGGAGGUGUAGGUUCAUCUCUUGUGGUAUCAAGAGAGGUGGUUUAUAAACUUUUACAAAUUGUGUUUCUUUGUGAUUGUAAUUUGUAAUUGUUUUGUGUUAGUGAAAAAGGUUUAUCUUGUUUGAGAUAAGCGACUGGACGUAGGAUUGGUAAGAUCCGAACCAGGAUAAAAUCAUCUUUGCAAA